GACAGAGGUGCCGAGCGUUAGGCGGAAUUACUGGGCGUAAAGCGUGCGCAGGCGGUGAUGUAAGACAGGUGUGAAAUCCCCGGGCUUAACCUGGGAACUGCAUUUGUGACUGCAUCGCUGGAGUGCGGCAGAGGGGGAUGGAAUUCCGCGUGUAGCAGUGAAAUGCGUAGAUAUGCGGAGGAACACCGAUGGCGAAGGCAAUCCCCUGGGCCUGCACUGACGCUCAUGCACGAAAGCGUGGGGAGCAAACAGG
rnacentral:rRNA from 1 species